rnacentral:miRNA from 22 species
CCACCCCCCGGCCUCCUCCUCUGAAGAGGGGGGGGAGAUAACGGGCUGAAACUAAAGCCCCCUCCUCUUCAGAGGAGGGGGUUGGGGGUGGU